AGCAGAAUGCCUGAAUAAAGGGUUAUCUUGAUAGGAUAAAUUAUGGGGAAUUCCCCUUCUACUA
rnacentral:tRNA from 1 species